rnacentral:rRNA from 1 species
UCCGUAGGUGAACCUGCGGAAGGAUCAUUAAAUAAUCAAUAAUUUUGGCUUGUCCAUCAUUAUCUAUUUACUGUGAACUGUAUUAUUACUUGACGCUUGAGGGAUGUUCCAAUGCUAUAAGGAUAGGCACUGGAAAUGUUAACCGAGUCAUAAUCAAGCUUAGGCUUGGUAUCCUAUUAUUAUUUACCAAAAGAAUUCAGAAUUAAUAUUGUAACAUAGACGUAAAAAAUCUAUAAAACAACUUUUAACAACGGAUCUCUUGGUUCUCGCAUCGAUGAAGAACGUAGCAAAGUGCGAUAACUAGUGUGAAUUGCAUAUUCAGUGAAUCAUCGAGUCUUUGAACGCAACUUGCGCUCAUUGGUAUUCCAAUGAGCACGCCUGUUUCAGUAUCAAAACAAACCCUCUAUCCAACUUUUGUUGAAUAGGAUGACUGAGAGUCUCUUGAUCUAUUCUGAUCUUGAACCUCUUGAAAUGUACAAAGGCCUGAUCUUGUUUGAAUGCCUGAACUUUUUUUUAAUAUAAAGAGAAGCUCUUGCGAUAAAACUGUGCUGGGGCCUCCCAAAUAACACAUCUUUAAAUUUGAUCUGAAAUCAGGUGGGAUUACCCGCUGAACUUAAGCAUAUCAAUAAGCGGAGGA